rnacentral:rRNA from 1 species
UUACAAACCUAGUUAAAGUCAAAGAUCUAAAAUGAACUGUAUAUUUGAUUUUAAGAAAAUAUUGGAAGGUAUAAUUUUAAUGUUCUAUAAAUCUAUGUAAUCAUUGUUAGUAUAAUUUUGUGUCUUAAGAGGGAAACCAGGAUUAGAUACCCUGUUAUUUUUAAGAGUAAAUAUAAUGAUUGGAGAGUACUAGCUUAGCUAAAAACCCAAAUAACUUGGCGGUGUUUUAACCUCUUAGGGGAAUCUGUUGCAUAAACGAUAAUCCACGAAAAACCUUACCUUAUUUUAGCUAGUAUAUCGUCGUUGGAUUCUUCUUAAGGAAAUUAAUGGUGGUAACCAAACAAUCAGAUCAUGAUGCUGCAUAUUAAGGAGCUAAUGGAUUACUAAUGGAAUAAUACUGAAACAUUAUUAAGAAUAUGGACUUAAAAGUAAAUUAGUAUAAGAAAAAUACUUGAAUACCGCUCUAAAACGUGCACAUAU